rnacentral:rRNA from 1 species
UACGGAGGAUGCAAGCGUUAUCCGGAUUCACUGGGUUUAAAGGGUCCGUAGGCGGAUUGAUAAGUCAGCGGUGAAAGUUUGUGGCUUAACCAUAAAAUUGCCGUUGAUACUGUUAGCCUUGAAUAAUUAUGAAGUAGCUAGAAUAUGUAGUGUAGCGGUGAAAUGCUUAGAUAUUACAUGGAAUACCGAUUGCGAAGGCAGGUUACUAAUAAUUUAUUGACGCUGAGGGACGAAAGCGUGGGGAGCGAACAGGAUUAGAUACCCUGGUAGUCCACGCCGUGAACGAUGGAUACUAGCUGUUUGGUAGCAAUACUGAGUGGCUAAGCGAAAGUGAUUAGUAUCCCACCUGGGGAGUACGUUCGCAAGAAUGAA